UAAGGAAUAUUGGACAAUGGGCGAAAGCCUGAUCCAGCCAUGCCGCGUGAAGGAUGAAGGCGCUCAGCGUUGUAAACUUCUUUUGGACGGGAACAAUAUCCUCCGUGCGCGGAGGCUUGAGGGUACCGUCAGAAUAAGCACCGGCUAACUCCGUGCCAGCAGCCGCGGUAAUACGGAGGGUGCAAGCGUUAUCCGGAAUCACUGGGUUUAAAGGGUGCGUAGGCGGUCUUGUAAGUCAGUCGUGAAAUCGCUGGGCUCAACCCAUGCAAUUGCGAUUGAUACUGCGAGACUUGAAUGGGGUUAAGGCAGGCGGAAUGUGGCAUGUAGCGGUGAAAUGCAUAGAUAUGCCAUAGAACACCGAUUGCGAAGGCAGCCUGCUGGGCCUUUAUUGACGCUGAGGCACGAAAGCGUGGGGAGCAAACA
rnacentral:rRNA from 1 species